rnacentral:rRNA from 1 species
CGAGGAAUAUUGGUCAAUGGGCGCAAGCCUGAACCAGCCAUCCCGCGUGCGGGAAGACGGCGCUAUGCGUUGUAAACUGCUUUUCCAGGGAGAGAAACUUGCGCACGUGUUGCGCAAUUGACGGUACCCUGGGAAUAAGCAUCGGCUAACUCCGUGCCAGCAGCCGCGGUAAUACGGAGGAUGCGAGCGUUAUCCGGAUUCAUUGGGUUUAAAGGGUGCGUAGGCGGACUAUUAAGUCAGUGGUGAAAUCCUGCAGCUUAACUGCAGAACUGCCAUUGAUACUGAUAGCCUUGAGUUUGGUUAAGGUGGGCGGAAUGUGUAAUGUAGCGGUGAAAUGCUUAGAUAUUACACAGAACACCAAUUGCGUAGGCAGCUUACUGAGCCGACACUGACGCUGAGGCACGAAAGCGUGGGGAUCGAACAG